GCAACUGAAUGCAAUAUGUACUACAUUAUGUUAACACUGCUACUUCCACCCCUAGAGUCCCCAAGGCAAAAUACAACCUCCAUCUUCACCGGUCAGUGACACUGCAGAAGAUCUCGAAUCACAAGUCACAAAACUGUGGAAAAAAAGAGACACAGAAGUGGUUAUUUCUGUGGUGCCCUCUCAAAUUACAGGGCACAACUUUCAGUGAGUUCAGAACACUAAGGCCUCACCAGUGGCUUGUAGGCGAGGCAAGUACUUUCAUUAAAGUAACCAAACCACUUAUCAUAAAGACAUAAAAACAAGUGAAGCUGCUAACAGCAACGAUCACGCCCUUUUAAUGUAGCUACCUUUGAAAAUUCUUUUUGAUUUCAUACUCAAAGUAUGUGAUUUAUUAUCUUUGGUUUGUUUUGUGUUAGGGCUGAACAAUUUGGGAAAAUCUAAUCCCCCCCCCUAUAAACUAAUGCAUUCCUUUAUGUUAGGGUUUCAUUUUGGACCACUAACGGGCAGCAUGAAAAGUUAAUGCAUGCGAGUUCUCCACUCUUUCGCUCGUGUCACGUGACCACCUUGUAAUCGCACACAUUGCAGUUAGAAAAUUGUGUUUUAUCAUAUCACGAUAUUAUUGCAAAUGCAAGUAAUCGUUCAGCCCUAAUUUGUGUUAUACAUAACAGAAGAUGAACAGUAAUCCAUAAGAAUAAUAUAUUCUUAGUGUUUGACUUCUCAAGAUUUUUUUCUGUCUGUAUAAAAAUUGUAUGAAGGUCAUUGAAAGCAUCCUUCACCACACUGCCACUAAACUGAACUUGGGGAGCACCAUUUACGUUCUGAACCACUAUGUGGCAGGGAUAAUCCUCUUUGGCAAGAGAGAGGAUGUCAGGCGACACAGUUUGUCUAAGAUCAACUUUGAUAAAUAUAAGGCUAUUGUGUCCUUUGUUAACAUAAGUGAUAUUCACUGGAAACUUCUGUACAUCAGUGCUGCAGAUAGUUCUGUCUAUCUGGUCGAUCCCGCACACAGCACAACUGAGCAGGCGGACUCAGAUGAUGCAGCAAACAGAUUGUGCAAGUACUUCAAAAUGAGGAGGACUUGUCAUGGAAAGAGUGACUGGGUAAAUAUCAAGUGGAAAGGUGAUGUUCUAAAACACCCAAUCCAAAGAGAUGGGUCCAGCUGUGGGGUAAUUGUCAUCAAGGUAAUAAGAAUGUUUCUUAUUUUAUCAAAAUGAUCGACAUAUCAAGUUUUUUUUUUUUAUUUCUCUUUUAGUGCAAUUCCACUUGCUGUAUUUAGCAGACUUUCAAACUUAUACAAACUUUGUUUAACAGUUCAGAUGGCAAAGGCAGUCAUGGAGGCUUUUCCUAAAAGAGCAAAGAUGACCUUUGGGACAGCUCCAGACGAGAUGGCAGAGGAAACGAAACAGGUGGCGAUUGAAGUUCUGCAAGCCUCAGUGUUUAACAUAGACACCAGCUGUGCCAUGUGUGCAGCAGUGAAACCACCACUUCCAGGGCCUGCCUUAACAAACUGGAUACAGUGUGACACAUGUUGCCGGUGGUUCCAUGUGGAGUGCCUGAACAUGGACUCUGCAACACUUCAGCAGGCAAAGGCUGGUGACUGGAACUGUGAAAUUUGCUAGCAUUAAGACAUCACCUUCGGACAGUGGAAGAGAAAGGGAUGUCUUGUCCUUUUUCUAUUAAAAAACGCUGUGCCAUGGUACAGGGUUAUGUCUGCUUGA